AAGUCGUAACAAGGUCUCCGUAGGUGAACCUGCGGAGGGAUCAUUACCGAGAUCUGGGUCCCGUCGGGCCCUCCUCUCCCCACGUCCUGGGGUCCUCCGACGCCCCUCGAGGCUGGGAGCCCCACCCACGAUGUCCGACGUCCACCGAUCAGAGCCCCCCAGCGGGGCGGUGACACCAGACGAGCAGAAAAAACUUUCAACAACGGAUCUCUUGGCUCUG
rnacentral:misc_RNA from 1 species